rnacentral:rRNA from 1 species
AUAACACUUGGAAACAGGUGCUAAUACCGUAUAACAACAAAAUCCGCAUGGAUUUUGUUUGAAAGGUGGCUUCGGCUAUCACUUCUGGAUGAUCCCGCGGCGUAUUAGUUAGUUGGUGAGGUAAAGGCCCACCAAGACGAUGAUACGUAGCCGACCUGAGAGGGUAAUCGGCCACAUUGGGACUGAGACACGGCCCAAACUCCUACGGGAGGCAGCAGUAGGGAAUCUUCCACAAUGGACGAAAGUCUGAUGGAGCAAUGCCGCGUGAGUGAAGAAGGGUUUCGGCUCGUAAAACUCUGUUGUUAAAGAAGAACACCUUUGAGAGUAACUGUUCAAGGGUUGACGGUAUUUAACCAGAAAGCCACGGCUAACUACGUGCCAGCAGCCGCGGUAAUACGUAGGUGGCAAGCGUUGUCCGGAUUUAUUGGGCGUAAAGCGAGCGCAGGCGGUUUUUUAAGUCUGAUGUGAAAGCCUUCGGCUUAACCGGAG